CCUACGGGAGGCAGCAGUGGGGGAUAUUGCACAAUGGGGGGAACCCUGAUGCAGCGACGCCGCGUGGGUGAAGGAGCGUUUCGGCGCGUAAAGCCCUAUCGGCAGGGAAGAAGGAGGACGGUACCUGACGAAGAAGCCCCGGCUAACUACGUGCCAGCAGCCGCGGUAAUACGUAGGGGGCAAGCGUUAUCCGGAUUUACUGGGUGUAAAGGGGGCGGAGGCGGCAGUGCAAGCCAGGAGUGAAAGCCCGGGGCCCAACCCCGGGAAUGCUCUUGGAACUGCGCAGCUAGAGUGCAGGAGGGGCAGGCGGAAUUCCAGGUGAAGCGGUGAAAUGCGUAGAUAUCAGGAGGAACACCGGUGGCGAAGGCGGCCUGCUGGACUGCGACUGACGUUGAGGCCCGAAAGCGUGGGGAGCAAACAGGAUUAGAUACCCGUGUAGUC
rnacentral:rRNA from 1 species